UACGUAGGGGGCAAGCGUUGUCCGGAAUUAUUGGGCGUAAAGAGCGCGUAGGCGGUCCGAUAAGUCGGCUGUGAAAGUCAGGGGCUCAACCCUUGAAAGCCGGCCGAUACUGUCGGACUAGAGUCCGGAAGAGGCAAGUGGAAUUCCCGGUGUAGCGGUGAAAUGCGCAGAUAUCGGGAGGAACACCAAUGGCGAAGGCAGCUUGCUGGGACGGUACUGACGCUGAGGAGCGAAAGCGUGGGUAGCAAACAGG
rnacentral:rRNA from 1 species